rnacentral:rRNA from 1 species
GUAAUACGGAGGGUGCAAGCGUUGUCCGGAUUUAUUGGGCGUAAAGCGCACGUAGGCGGAUUUGUAAGUAGGGGGUGAAUUCCCCAGGCUCAACCUGGGAACUGCCUUCUAGACUGCAAGUCUCGAGGUCAGGAGAGGCGAGUGGAAUUCCGAGUGUAGAGGUGAAAUUCGUAGAUAUUCGGAGGAACACCAGUGGCGAAGGCGACUCGCUGGACUGAUACUGACGCUGAGGUGCGAAAGCGUGGGGAGCAAACAGG